GGCUGCAAAACCUGUUUGCCCAGCACGGGGAUAUUGAGUUCUAUAAGAUAAAGCCAUAAACAUGUUUGUCUGAGUCUUCUAUCAAAAGUUACAGCGAUUUAUAUGAAGUUGUUCAAAAACGCUUUCUUUCGCCAAGACAGUGUGUUUCUCACUGUUACAUGCAUUUGAAUGGGAAACUCGCCUGAAACAAAGUAUAGGUUUUCAUUAUGUGAAUAAUUUUAAAAUCUUAGCUCAAACGGCUGCAAAACCUGUUUGCCCAGCACGGGGAUAUUGAGUUCUAUAAGAUAAAGCCAUAAACAUGUUUGUCUGAGUCUUCUAUCAAAAGUUACAGCGAUUUAUAUGAAGUUGUACAAAAACGCUUUAUUUCGCCAAGACAGUGUGUUUCUCACUGUUACAUGCAUUUGAAUGGGAAACUCGCCUGAAACAAAGUAUAGGUUUUCAUUAUGUGAAUAAUUUUAAAAUCUUAGCUCAAACGGCUGCAAAACCUGUUUGCCCAGCACGGGGAUAUUGAGUUCUAUAAGAUAAAGCCAUAAACAUGUUUGUCUGAGUCUUCUAUCAAAAGUUACAGCGAUUUAUAUGAAGUUGUACAAAAACGCUUUAUUUCGCCAAGACAAUGCGUUUCUCACUGUUACAUGCAUUUGAAUGGGAAACUCGCCUGAAACAAAGUAUAGGUUUUCAUUAUGUGAAUAAUUUUAAAAUCUUAGCUCAAACGGCUGCAAAACCUGUUUGCCCAGCACGGGGAUAUUGAGUUCUAUAAGAUAAAGCCAUAAACAUGUUUGUCUGA
ensembl:lncRNA